GGCGGGCGGGUGAGUAACACGUGAGAAUUUACCUUUAGGAGGGGGAUAACAAUUGGAAACGAUUGCUAAUACCCCAUAUGCUUUCGAGUGAAAUAGAGUUAUCUGCCUAAAGAGAAGCUCGCGGCUGAUUAGCUUGUUGGUAAGGUAAUGGCUUACCAAGGCGACGAUCAGUAUCUGGUUUGAGAGGACGAUCAGACACAUUGGAACUGAGACGCGGUCCAGACUCCUACGGGAGGCAGCAGUGGGGAAUUUUCCGCAAUGGGCGAAAGCCUGACGGAGCAAUACCGCGUGAGGGAAGACGGCCCAUGGGUUGUAAACCUCUUUUUUCAGUGAGGAAACAAAUGACGUGUAGCUGAAGAAUAAGCAUCGGCUAACUCCGUGCCAGCAGCCGCGGUAAGACGGAGGAUGCAAGUGUUAUCCGGAAUCACUGGGCGUAAAGCGUCUGUAGGUGGUUUAAUAAGUCAACUGUUAAAUCUUGAGGCUUAACUUCAAAAUCGCAGUCGAAACUAUUAGACUAGAGUAUAGUA
rnacentral:rRNA from 1 species